AGUCUCUUCUUCCUGAUUUCAGAGGAGCUUCAUGACAGAAGAAAGUUUGGUUUGACCAUCAGACUGAAAAUAACUCAGAAACUUUCAUCACACUCAUCAUUCAGUCUCAGUAUCUUUCCUCUGAAGCAUGGACAAACUCAUUGUUAUUCUGUUUUUGUCUUCUAUCAUGGGUAUGUAUGAAAUUAUCAGUUUAUUCAAAUUUUCCCACUUUAAGUAAAGACAAGUGAUUUAAAUGUGACAUGUAUUUUCUCUCCUAUUUUGACAGAUAAUAUAAAUGUGAUUGAGAAUAACCUGACCUUUAAUCUGGACUGAGUCUUUUCAGAGAAUAACUGAGUUUUUCUUGUUUCCUUCAGGUGUAAACUGUGAAGAUCUCACUCCAGCUCAAAAUGAAGAGUCCAGUUUAGAGGGCAGCUCUGUUACUCUGUCCUACAAUUACUCCAAACUAUCAACUACUGAUUAUUUCUACUGGUAUUGUCAAUAUCCAGGAAAACAACCAGAGUACCUCAUUUAUCACCUCGCUUCAGGAGACAUAUUAAAAGCAGCUAUCUCUGGAUUAAAGAUUACAGUGAAGAAAAACCUCAUCAACAUGACCAUCUCCUCUGCUGCAGUGACUGACUCUGCUGUGUACUACUGUGCUGUGAGGCC